rnacentral:lncRNA from 1 species
UCGUAGAGGCGCAGAGAAAACAAAACAUUUUCUGACUGAAGCCGCUGAACUGCUCAACUCCAGGUCCGUCGCGAGAUCUCUCCGUUUGGGUCCAAUCGGUGACGGAAGUCGUGUCGCCAAGACAGACGAUCGAGAUCGCGAUUCCUCUCCGUUUGGGAUCGUGCGAUCCGGAAUGCAGCCCCGCCCUGAUCCAUUAGCCGAUAAUAUGCAGAAUUUGAAUCUUAAUCGGCCGCCUUCCAUGCCUAAUUCUGCCACUCCAACCGUCACCGUCACCCUUCCCGCUCGGGCCCCGCCUACUGUGCCUCUG